GCCACGGUGGUCUAGCGGUCAGAACACCAGCCUUGUAAGCCUGGGGUCCUGGGUUCAAUUCCCGGUGGUGCUC
rnacentral:tRNA from 1 species